CCUACGGGUGGCUGCAGUGGGGGAUAUUGCACAAUGGAGGCAACUCUGAAGCAGCGAUGCCGCGUGGGCGAAGACGUCUCUCUGUAUGGAAAGCUGUAUCAGUAGGGGAGAAGACAUGACGGUACCUGAGUGUGUAGCACCGGCUAAAUAAGUGCCAGCAGCCGCGGUAAUACGAAGGGUGCAAGCGUUAUCCGGAUUUACUGGGUGUAAAGGGAGCGCAGGGGGUACGGCAAGUCUGAGGUGAAAGCCCGCGGCUCAACCGCGGAACUGCAUUGGGUACUGCCCGGCUAGAGAGCAGGAGAGGUAGGCGGAAUGUAUAGUGUAGCGGUGAAAUGCGUAGAGAUCA
rnacentral:rRNA from 1 species